CUGAAAAGGUGCUUCGGAGAGAAGAGGAAGGGCCAGUCAGAAAAAAAUGGAAGUUAUUGUAAUGGGAUGCUAAAGAUUGUUGAAGCCUCACCACGGUGUUUCCUGAUACAGCAUGUUAAAAAAUAAGGAUCGUUCAUCUAAAAAAAGUAACUUAGCAGUCUCUGCAGUUGCCUUACAAGACCACAUAUUACGUGAUCUUCAACUUGGACAUCUCUCAGUAGCAGAUCCUUGUAAGACAAAAGUGCAAAAGAAAGAGAACAAAUCACAAUCUCUCAGAAAAGGCUCGGCAGCCAUGAUGGACACUGGACUUAGAAAGACUGCAGAGGGGCCUAAAGGGGAAGAUCCAGAGAAGGAAUAUGUUCUAGACCCCACACCACCACCGUUAACUUUAGGUACUGCUUUCCUGCUCACACGUGUUCCAUAGGGCAUGCCUUCAGGCUUUUGAAAAGUUCACAAAUAGAAAAACCUGUCCUCUCUGUAGAAAGAACCAAUAUCAAACGAGAGUGAUACACGACGGGGCUCGUCUGUUCAGAGUAAAGUGUG
rnacentral:lncRNA from 1 species